GGUCAAGCGACUAAGUGCAUCUGGUGGAUGCCUUGGCGAUCACAGGCGAUGAAGGACGUGUAAGCCUGCGAAAAGCGCGGGGGAGCUGGCAAUAGAGCUUUGAUCCCGCGAUGUCCGAAUGGGGAAACCCCUCCGCAAGGAGAUCCCUGACUGAAUACAUAGGUCAGUGGAGGCGAACCGAGUGAACUGAAACAUCUAAGUAACUCGAGGAACAGAAAUCAACCGAGAUUCCGUAAGUAGUGGCGAGCGAACGCGGAACAGCCUGUACGUGUUAUGGAUUGUGUUAGUGGAAGGUUAUGGAAAGGACCGCCAUAGUGGGUGAUAGCCCCGUACACGAAAACACAUUCCAAGGACUAGGCGUACGAGAAGUAGGGCGGGACACGCGAAAUCCUGUCUGAAGAUGGGGGGACCAUCCUCCAAGGCUAAAUACUCGUGAUCGACCGAUAGUGAACCAGUACCGUGAGGGAAAGGCGAAAAGAACCCCGGGAGGGGAGUGAAAUAGAACCUGAAACCGGAUGCAUACAAACAGUGGGAGCGGACUUGUUCCGUGACUGCGUACCUUUUGUAUAAUGGGUCAGCGACUUACGUUCAGUAGCAAGCUUAACCGAAUAGGGGAGGCGUAGGGAAACCGAGUCCGAAUAGGGCG
rnacentral:rRNA from 1 species